UGGGGAAUAUUGCACAAUGGGCGCAAGCCUGAUGCAGCCAUGCCGCGUGUGUGAAGAAGGCCUUCGGGUUGUAAAGCACUUUCAGCGAGGAGGAAGGGUUCAGUGUUAGUAGCACUGUUCAUUGACGUUACUCGCAGAAGAAGCACCGGCUAACUCCGUGCCAGCAGCCGCGGUAAUACGGAGGGUGCAAGCGUUAAUCGGAAUUACUGGGCGUAAAGCGCACGCAGGCGGUUUGUUAAGUCAGAUGUGAAAUCCCCGCGCUUAACGUGGAACUGCAUUUGAAACUGGCAAGCUAGAGUCUUGUAGAG
rnacentral:rRNA from 1 species